rnacentral:rRNA from 1 species
AAAUAAUGCUGGGGUACGAUGCGGAGCGAAAUUUAGUAGCGAAGUAGCUGAUUUCACACUGUCGAGAAAAGUCUCUAUCGAGGUUAAAGGUGCCUGUACCGCAAACCGACACAGGUGGGUGAGGAGAGUAUCCUAAGGCCAGCGAGAGAACUGUUGUUAAGGAACUCGGCAAAAUGACCCCGUAACUUCGGGAGAAGGGGUGCCAUCGAAAGAAGGCCGCAGAGAAUAGGCCCAAGCGACUGUUUACCAAAAACAUAGGUUUCUGCUAAGUCGCAAGACGAUGUAUAGGAGCUGACGCCUGCCCGGUGCUGGAAGGUUAAGGGGAUCUGUUAGAGCAAUCGAAGCAGUGAACUUAAGCCCCAGUAAACGGCGGCCGUAACAAUAACGGUCCUAAGGUAGCGAAAUUCCUUGUCGGGUAAGUUCCGACCCGCACGAAAGGCGUAACGAUUUGGGCACUGUCUCAACAACAGACUCGGUGAAACUGUAAUACCGGUGAAGAUGCCGGUUACCUGCGACAGGACGGAAAGACCCCAUGGAGCUUUACUGUAGCUUGACAUUGAGUCUCGGUGCUACAUGUACAGGAUAGGUGGGAGACUAUGAAGCAUGGACGUCAGUCUGUGUGGAGUCAUCCUUGGGAUACCACCCUUGUAGUACUGGGAUUCUAACCAGAGGCCAUGAAUCUGGUCUUGGGACACUGUCAGGUGGACAGUUUGACUGGGGCGGUCGCCUCCCAAAAAGUAACGGAGGCGCUCAAAGGUUCUCUCAGUACGGUCGGAAAUCGUACGAAGAGUGUAAAGGCAAAAGAGAGCUUGAUUGCAAGACAUACAGGUCGAGCAAGGACGAAAGUCGGACUUAGUGAUCCGGUGGUUCCGCAUGGAAGGGCCAUCGCUCAACGGAUAAAAGCUACCCUGGGGAUAACAGGCUGAUCUCCCCCAAGAGUCCACAUCGACGGGGAGGUUUGGCACCUUGAUGUCGGCUCAUCACAUCCUGGGGCUGUAGUAGGUCCCAAGGGUUGGGCUGUUCGCCCAUUAAAGUGGUACGCGAGCUGGGUUCAGAACGUCGUGAGACAGUUCGGUCCCUAUCCGUCGCAGGCGUAGGAAAUUUGAGGAGACCUGUCCUUAGUACGAGAGGACCGGGAUGGACGUACCGCUGGUGUACCAGUUGUUCUGCCAAGGGCAUGGCUGGGUAGCUAAGUACGGAAAGGAUAAGCGCUGAAAGCAUCUAAGCGCGAAGCCCACUUCAAGAUAAGAUUUCCCACCGCAAGGUUAAGAUCCCAGGAAGACUACCUGGUUGAUAGGUCAGAGGUGUAAGUGCAGUAAUGUAUUUAGCUUACUGAUACUAAUAGAUCGAGGACUUGAUC